rnacentral:lncRNA from 1 species
GGAUUUGAGUCUUCAAUGUGGGAGCAGAGUUACCUGAAUAUAUGGAGUUGAUGGAGACAUUCCUUGAUGAGAAGCAGAAAUUCCCCAGGGACCUUGUAAAUCUGAAGCAGAUAAAGGGAAAUGAAGAAACCAAGUUUUACAACUUUGAUGAGUGGCAAAAUUUGUCAAUAAGAGCUAGAUAUUAAGUAAUUAGCUUUUAGGAAGCAAAGUGUAUUGGACUUGGCUAUGAUAUGAAGGAAUUCAUUUAAUAAAUCAAAACGAAAACAAAAACAACAAAAACAAAGAAGCGAAGCAUGAAUCUCCUAAUCAGCAGAAAAGGGAGGACAGCCGGAGACAAUCGUAUUCCUGAUCGAUACUGAUGUAAACUUGUGCUGGAACAAUGGGACCAUCUCGUUGCAGGAAAACAAGCUCAGGGCUCCCACUGAUUCUACAUUAUGGCAACAGAUGACUUUCUGCAAAGGCACUGAUAAUAGCUAUGAGGAAUAAAUAUUGCAGAUGGAUUAAAUCAAAGAAUCAAAUUUCAAAGCCAAAUUAGUCGUGAAAAGGAGGGAGAAGCAGAAAUGAAGAAAAAAGAACCACAGAAGUAAAAUCAGCAGCAUUGAAAAGAAAAUCAUCUGCUGUUUGAAUAAAGACCCAAGAUCUUUCAUUGUUGGAUCCCCAAAGCCAGUGCCUUUUUUGAGCAGCAAGUCCCAAGAUCAAGAAAUCAGAAGGAACUAAUACUUUAACUAAUUAGUAGUAAUGAAAAUUUACUAGACAUCAAUGACAAAUUUACAAGGCAAAUUUAUUUCCAAAGUACAUUCAUAUAUAUCACAGGUAAAAUGAGGUUUUCACAAACACCAUUUUAAACAUAGGGUUUAUUUGCAGGAGCUAUUUUUGUGGCUUAGGGAACAAAUGGUUCAUUGAAACAGAACUUUGCUGGUCUGGUUUCAAAGAAUUCUAUUAUAUAAAAGAUUCUGUAGAACAGAUGGGAUCAAAAGUCCCUGAACACAGAACAGGAAUAUCAGGUAAUGAAAAUGUUCUUUUGGUAUAGUAUUAUGUUUUAUGCUUUGAAAGUAUUAGUAUGCAAGGAACUCAGGCAAGAGCAUAAAAGAGGAAGUAGGAAUAAUACUUUAUGUUUGAAUAGGCUUUAGACUUUCCAAAAUACUUACAUCCUACUGAAGCUUGGUA